UCUAAAAUGGCAGAAUAGUGCUCUGGACUUAAACCCCAAAUAUAAAAUUUAAAUUUUUUUUAGAA
rnacentral:tRNA from 1 species